CCUACGGGUGGCAGCAGUGAGGAAUAUUGGUCAAUGGACGAGAGUCUGAACCAGCCAAGUAGCGUGAAGGAUGACUGCCCUAUGGGUUGUAAACUUCUUUUAUAUGGGAAUAAAACGUUCCACGUGUGGGAUUUUGUAUGUCCCAUAUGAAUAAGGAUCGGCUAACUCCGUGCCAGCGACCACGGUAAUACGGAGGAUCCGAGCGUUAUACGGAUUUAUUGGGUUUAAAGGGAGCGUAGGUGGAUUGUUAAGUCAGUUGUGAAAGUUUGCGGCUCAACCGUAAAAUUGCAGUUGAAACUGGCAGUCUUGAGUACAGUAGAGGUGGGCGGAAUUCGUGGUGUAGCGGUGAAAUGCUUAGAUAUCACGAAGAACUCCGAUUGCGAAGGCAGUUCACUGGACUGCAACUGACACUGAGGCUCGAAAGUGUGGGUAUCAAACAGGAUUAGAUACCCUAGUAGUC
rnacentral:rRNA from 1 species